CUCUCUUGCCACCAGUUUCCGGAACACGUCAAACUCCUCCUGUGUUGCAUUGGCAAUCUUUCCCAGGUAGACGUCUUCAGAGACACUCAGCACGUCUUUCAAGCGCGGAUUGAGUAUGAGCGUUUGACCCUUCUUGUCGGGGGUCUGGUAGAGUCCACGUCGCUCCAGGAAGCCGUGCCGACACCGCAGCUCCUCCGCGGAAAGCCUGAAGAGCUUCGCUUUCACCAUCUCGGCCUGGCGACAGCCCAUGCGGAAAUAUACAUACUGCAGGGAGAACAAGUACCUCCACACCUGACCAAAGAGAGUCCAGCUGUCACAUGCCCCCUUCGACACGCAAGCAGAACCGACCCAUCUUUUCACCUGGACGAGGUGAAUUUAUGUGGAGAUCUUGCACACCAUCAUCUUCCCUGCACUUACUGUGCAGGCACCAUUGAUCAGCCAGCAAAGCCAACAACUGCAGCAGUUAUGAGAUUUUCUGCAUUGACAGCAACAAAGUUACGGAGUAGACUGGACAUAAGGAGCACAAUUGGGGUGUAAUUGUCUCCCAUCACCUGUAGGUGGGAGCAUCAGCAGGGUUCCCACUAAUUUUCCAUAAUCGAUGGAGCAGACUGUUGCUACAAAGGCUUCCUUGUUCCAGCAAGACUAAGCACAUGUAAACAAAGAGCGGCCCAUAAAAAACAUGGUUUGAGAAGUCAGGUGUCCACAUACUUCUAACCAUAUAGUGUACAAUGCAUACACACAAAUGCUGCUACCUGUGGAGAUGCCACACGGGGGGUCGAGUUUGGCCUGCAUGGUCUCCUCCACGCCGCAGAAAGGAUUUUCACUGAAGAGCAGGGUGUAUAGUAGCACUCCCAGAGACCACAUCUCCAGUUCUGGUCCUUCAUAUCUACAGUUGCAACAAGAGUUUCAACCACAUCAUAUCAGAACUCAAGGAAUGACAAUGAGAUCCAAGGAGAAACAUUUCCCCCCCCCCCCACUGGCCUACAAAACAGCUUGGUAAGUUUAUUAAAUCCAAAACGAGCAGUGGUGUAAACAAUACCAGUGAGUGUUCCUACACGUAACCAUAGUUACCUUAGCACACAGACCAAACCAUAAGAAAUUGAUAUUCCUAAAAUAAUAAAUUACUCGA